rnacentral:lncRNA from 1 species
AUGUGUUUCUGCGUUUUUAUGCGUUUCAAGUUCAACGCAAGGUCAACACAUUUUUUAAAGUGGUCUGACUGUUUCUGCAUUGCAUUACAGAUGUCCUGGUCAAUAAAAAACAGAAACAGGGAAAUACAGAGGAAAAUGAGAAUGUUUAUCACCUGUACUCCACAAUCCCUGACAAACCAGUUCACUCAAACACAGAAGAUCACGUGUACAGUUUGGUGAACAUGCACUGAUGAAUCUCAUGUCUGUGUUUAUUAUGUACAACCACUAUACUGUAAAUAAAAUAUCUUUAAUUGCAGAUGAAUAAGUGUUUUAUUUUCAUUAUUCAGUGCAUGGUGCGGAAUAUACAGUGACUUCAGUCUGUGGCAAGGCCCACUCCAAUACCAAGAAUAGCUAAUUGAUCAUUCAAUAAAGGCUGAACUUUCUGAAGUAAUCAUAAACCUUUUGACCUAGAUAUUUUUUUCUCCUUACUAUCCUGUAUUAUUCAAGAUAUAUAUUACUCAAGAUAUAUAUUUAGACUAUCAAGUCCAUAGCUUCUAGUGCCACAAAACCCAGUCAAUUACGUCAGAGAUGAAAGAGAAUAGUGACUCGCAUCCUGUUUUAGUGAAUCAUUCAUUCCAGUGUGUUUUAGUUUGAAACACAAACUGAAUGGCAGGUCAAAGCAUCCAUGAUAUACUUUGAUGCAGAGAAGUCAUACAUUAGGCAUGAGUCUGUUAUUAUUGUUAUUAUCAAACAAAACAUAUGUGCACUCUUAGCACACUGAUUGCUAACAUUGCAAGCAUAAUUUCAACAUUCAUAAUUUCAAGUUGUUGAAAUUUAUGUCUGCUGAGUGUUUUAAUCAUGGAUGCUUACAGAAGAAGCAUUUGUUUUUUUGUUUGUUUGUUUUUUUGGUGUGUUUAGUAAUUCUGAACAGAUCCAUAUAGUAGCAUAUGCAGUCAAGGCAAGGCGACUAGUAUAGUAGUCUUUUGGCAUUUCCAUAAUCUCCUGUUUUGUAUGGCACCUUCACUUGUGUUUAUUUGCAUGUAACAGCUCUAAACAAAUGUACAUUUUUUUUCCUUUAAUUUUUAUUCUGUUGCACUGUAUACAUAUGUGAAUUAUGAAAAUCUGUUUUUUUCCAGCAUUGUGUUUAAAGUCAUAAACUGUUGAGAUCAGUGAACAGCAGACAGCUGAUCUGUGUUUAUCCACUCAAGACUGAACCUGAGAUCAGAUCAUCACACAGUGACACAAUCACCAUCAUUAUCAGUUUGAGCACAUUUAAUGAUUAGAGACGCAUAGACAUAAAGGUUAGAAUGUACAGCUGGUAUAUUCCAUUCCCAAACCCUAUCUCUAUACACAACCUUCACAGAAACAAAGUGUCCCCACAAGGUCAAAUAUUACAGGUAUUGCCAUCCAACAUAGUGUUUACCAGGACCACACACACACACACACACACACACACACACUUACACACUUUAAACGUAAACUAAGAUAAAUAGCUUAUAAUAUAGAAAAUUAAUUUACUUUUUUUUUUAUUUGUCUUUGCAAAUAACUAACAAGUGUUUCUUGUUCAAAGAUUGCAUGUGUGUGUGUUGUACUAGAAGAAGAUCUUUAUUUUUGUUUUUUGUUUUGUUUGUUUUUUUUUGGUGUGUUUAGUAAUUCUGAACAGAUCCAUAUAGUAGCAUAUGCAGUCAAGGCAAGGCGACUAGUAUAGUAGUCUUUUUGGCAUUUCCAUAAUCUCCUGUUUUGUAUGGCACCUUCACUUGUGUUUAUUUGCAUGUAACAGCUCUAAACAAAUGUACAUUUUUUUCCUUUAAUUUUUAUUCUGUUGCACUGUAUACAUAUGUGAAUUAUGAAAAUCUGUUUUUUCCAGCAUUGUGUUUAAAGUCAUAAACUGUUGAGAUCAGUGAACAGCAGACAGCUGAUCUGUGUUUAUCCACUCAAGACUGAACCUGAGAUCAGAUCAUCACACAGUGACACAAUCACCAUCAUUAUCAGUUUGAGCACAUUUAAUGAUUAGAGACGCAUAGCCAACAUAGUAGUUACUACGACACACACACACACACACACACACACACACUUACACACUUUAAACGUAAACUAAGAUAAAUAGCUUAUAAUAUGAAAAUAAUUACUUUUUUUUUAUUUGCUUUGCAAAUAACACAAGUGUUCUUGUUCAAAGAUUGCAUGUGUGUGUGUGUGGUCCUGCCUGGUAAACCCUUCAUUACAAAAAGAUGGAAAUAACAUUCAUUUUUAACAGUGUGGGGACAUUUUUGGGUGACACACUGAAGAGAUACCGGAUUUUAUGCCAGUUACAUAAGUUAGGUAAUGUAAGUGUAUUUUCUAAUGUGGUAUCUGUAGCCUGAGUUACUGUAAUUAUUUCAGCAACAAGGGUGAUUUGAAACAUAUCUUGCAUUCAUUGUUUGCUAUUAAAUUAACUGACUGGUAAAAGGACUAAACUGAAAGAAGAUCAUACUGUAACAUAUCUGAACAUUCAUUAAAACAAUCAUAUGUGUUUUUUUUUUCUCUAUAUUUCUACUUCUGUAUUAUAUUGCAUCAUUUUAAUUUUGUUUUUCUUAUAUUAGUGUUAUAUUUCAUACUGUGUAAUUCCUAUGUAUGUCUGCACUAUCAUGUAUGUCUGCACUAUAAUGUUUAUUUGCACUAUGUCUGUACUUUCUGUACUUGGGGGGCAUCUGUGGCCUAAUGGUUAAAGAGUUGGACUUGUAACCCGAAGGUCGCAGGUUCAAUUCUCAGUGCUGGCAGGAGUUGUAGGUGGGUGGGGAGUGAAUGAACAGCCCUUGAUCAAGGCACUGAACCCGGAGUAGGCUCCCGGGCAGCUGGAUAUA